rnacentral:rRNA from 1 species
AUUGAACGCUGGCGGCAUGCCUUACACAUGCAAGUCGAACGGCAGCACGGGAGCUUGCUCCUGGUGGCGAGUGGCGAACGGGUGAGUAAUACAUCGGAACGUACCCUGAAGUGGGGGAUAACGUAGCGAAAGUUACGCUAAUACCGCAUAUUCUGUGAGCAGGAAAGAGGGGGAUCGCAAGACCUCUUGCUUUAGGAGCGGCCGAUGUCGGAUUAGCUAGUUGGUGAGGUAAAGGCUCACCAAGGCGACGAUCCGUAGCGGGUCUGAGAGGAUGAUCCGCCACACUGGGACUGAGACACGGCCCAGACUCCUACGGAGGCAGCAGUGGGAAUUUUGGACAAUGGGCGCAAGCCUGAUCCAGCCAUGCCGCGUGAGUGAAGAAGGCCU